AAUAAAACUGGCCACCCCAGCCGGCAGUGGCAACCCACUUGGGUGCCGUGAAAGCUUUGUUCUUUCGGUCUUCACAGUAGAUCUUGCUGCUGCUCACUUUUUGGGUCUGUGCCAUCUUUAAGAGUUGUAACACUCACCUCAAAGGUCUGCAGCUCCAUUCUUGAAGUCAAGGAGACCACGAACCCCCCAGAAGGAACCAACUCUGGACACAAAAGGAAAGGAAUAGCAGUUAUGUCUCAGGGUUUUUUGAGGAUCAAACUGGAAAAUGCUGUCAACUAUAGUUAUUAGUAUACAGAAAGAAGCUUCUAGAAGUGCCACUUCCAGAAGUAAGCAGC
rnacentral:lncRNA from 1 species